CAAAGGAGCGAUCCGGUGGCGGAUGGGCAUGCGGCGCAUUAGCUAGACGGCGGGGUGACGGCCCACCGUGGCGACGAUGCGUAGGGGUUCUGAGAGGAAGGCCCCCCACACUGGGACUGAGACACGGCCCAGACUCCUACGGGAGGCAGCAGUGAGGAAUAUUGGUCAAUGGGCGGAAGCCUGAACCAGCCAAGUCGCGUGAGGGAUUAAGGCCCUGCGGGUCGUAAACCUCUUUUGCCGGGGAGCAGAGGUCCGGACGUGUCCGGGCCGGGAGAGUACCCGGAGAAAAAGCAUCGGCUAACUCCGUGCCAGCAGCCGCGGUAAUACGGAGGAUGCGAGCGUUAUCCGGAUUUAUUGGGUUUAAAGGGUGCGUAGGCGGGCAUUUAAGCCGGCGGUCAAAUGUCGGGGCUCAACCCCGGCCUGCCGUCGGAACUGGGUGCCUUGAGUGGGCGAGAAGUAUGCGGAAUGCGUGGUGUAGCGGUGAAAUGCAUAGAUAUCACGCAGAACCCCGAUUGCGAAGGCAGCAUACCGGCGCCCGACUGACGCUGAGGCACGAAAGUGCGGGUAUCGAACAGGAUUAGAUACCCUGGUAGUCCGCACAGUAAACGAUGGAUGCUAUCUGUCCGGGCCGAAUGAGGCCUGG
rnacentral:rRNA from 1 species